CAGUUGCUUUUGAAUAAUAGUAUUGCAAAUUGGCAAAUAACGUCCGUCAGUUUUGAAUUUGAGAGAGAAGUUACACAGUUAUCCCUUAAUUCAAGUCAAUAAGCUGAGAGCAGUAAAUACAAUAUCUGAGCGUAAACUUAACUUUGCCGUACAUUCUUAUCUAGAUGCAAAAAUAAAUGCUGAGAAUAAUAAAUUUAAUUUUUGAGCGUAAAAUUUUUGAGCAACCAUAGCUAUAUAUAAAUGCAAGUAUAUGUGUAUUGGAUCAGUUGUUGUUUUUUUGUUGGUAUAUGAUGUAGUUGCGCGUCGCAAAUUUCCACUGACACGGCUUAUUUUUUCAUUUCCUUUCGCUUAUACGGCAUUCGCGUUGAUUAAGAAAAAAAAAAAAAAAAAAAACUGAAAUUUGUAUUUUUGUAUUGAAAUCUUUAUGAUAAUUUCGUAUUUUUUCUUUCGUCGCCGUUUUGGUUUUAAAGUGCAAAUAUAAAAAAAAAAACAAAUUAUUUAACAUUCAUUCAUAAAUUCAACAACAAAAUCAAAGCAUAAAAUUUUUACUAUUUAUUGGUAAAUAGAAAUAAGUGUGCGCAGCAAAACAAUUUGAAGAGAGGAAGAACUUCAACAUAUAUUUUUAAUAUAAACUACACUGCAGUAUACAGUAGGGAGGGUUUAAUGCGUAAAAAAACGCGUAUGCCUUCUAUCCACUAACUUUUAGAUGCAUAAAUGCUUAUUGUGAGUGUGUGGUAUGUUAAACAAUUCGGGGUAAACAUUUAUAAAAAUUUUCAUUUAUUCGCGUUCGGGAUGCGCAUUUUAUUUAAUGUUUAAUGGUUUGAGACAACAGAGGUAUUAUUUCGCCUGUGUGCAUUUUAAUUCAUUUGUUCGUUCCUGUGCUAUCACUACUUCACAAAAUCGUAUAGAAACACUAAAAAAAAAAGACAAUAAUGCUAUACGCGACUAAGUUACGUGUCGUGGCUAAAAAUAUAAAUUCUGAAUAAAAUUAAAAAUAUAUGAAAAAUACUUAUCAUAUUUUAUGUCGAGUAAGGAAAACAAAAAAGCUUUGUAAAGAGAUUUGUAUGGACGCUUGUAACUAUCAAAAACAAAAUUGGUUGACAAACACAGACAGAAAACUAUUUACAUAAUCAGAAAAAUGGCAUAUAAUCCUAAAUAAAGAAAGUUUGAGAACACGGAAUAAUCGAGAUUAAGCAAACAAAAUUAUAUAACAAACUUUACAAAAAGACAAAAAAAAAAAAAAAAAUUCAAAAAGGAAAAAUUAAAAAUAAUGAUUAAAAGUCAUUAAAAAGACGAAACAUAUCCUUUAGUUCUCAAUUUAAUAUAAAAUCCCCAUGGAUUAAAUUUCACCUGAUUUUCUAUGUAUCGCCACUUCUCGCCUGUAAUUAUACUCAACGUGGUGAUCACGAGCUCACACCAAACAUUAUUCCUCAGCAUAAUCAACAUCAUCUGCAGCAAAAAAAAAAAAAAA